CAGCCGCCGCGGUAAAACGAGGGGGGCAAGCGUUGUUCGGAAUUAUUGGGCGUAAAGGGUGCGUAGGCGGUUUGAUAAGUCAUCUGUGAAAUCUCUGGGCUCAACCCAGAGUCUGCAGGCGAAACUGUCGGGCUUGAGUAUGGGAGAGGUGAGUGGAAUUUCCGGUGUAGCGGUGAAAUGCGUAGAUAUCGGAAGGAACACCUGUGGCGAAAGCGGCUCACUGGACAAUAACUGACGCUGAUGCACGAAAGCUAGGGGAGCAAACAGGAUUAGAGACCCCUGUAGUACCUGUCUCUUAUAC
rnacentral:rRNA from 1 species